rnacentral:misc_RNA from 1 species
UAAUAAGUGUUUUAUGGCACUUUUUAAAUCCAUAUCCACCUUGUGUGCAAUGUCGGUCGAUCUUCUUUAUUGAGAUCGACCAAACAUCAACCUUUAUCUUUUAACUCUUUGUCUGAAAAAUAUUAUGAAUAAACAAUUCAAAAUA